GAUGAAGAACGUAGUGAAAUGCGAUAAGUAAUAUGAAUUGCAGAUUUUCGUGAAUCAUCGAAUCUUUGAACGCACAUUGCGCCCUUUGGUAUUCCAAAGGGCAUGCCUGUUUGAGCGUCAUUUCUCUCUCAAAUCUUCGGAUUUGGUUUUGAGUGAUACUCUUAGUCAGACUAGGCGUUUGCUUGAAAUGUAUUGGCAUGAGUGGUACUAGAUAGUGCUAAACUGUUUCAAUGUAUUAGGUUUAUCCAACUCGUUGACCAGUGAAGUAUUUGUUUAUUACACAGGCUCGGCCUUACAACAACAAACAAAGUUUGACCUCAAAUCAGGUAGGACUACCCGCUGAACUUAAGCAUAUCAAUAAGCGGAGGA
rnacentral:misc_RNA from 1 species